CAAAGGUUUGGUCCUAGCCUUCCUAUUAGUUUUUAGUAGACUUACACAUGCAAGUCUCCACGCCCCAGUGAGAAUGCCCUCAAAAUCAUUAUUGAUCCAAAGGAGCAGGUAUCAAGCACACUUUUAAGUAGCUCAUAACACCUUGCUAAGCCACGCCCCCACGGGAUACAGCAGUGAUAAAAAUUAAGCCAUAAACGAAAGUUUGACUAAGCCAUACUAAAAAGGGUUGGUAAAUUUCGUGCCAGCCACCGCGGUCAUACGAUUAACCCGAACUAAUAGGUCCACGGCGUAAAGCGUGUUUAAGAUAUCUUUGCACUAAAGUUAAAAUUUAACUAAGCCGUAAAAAGCUACAGUUACUAUAAAAUAAACUACGAAAGUGACUUUAUAAUUAUCUGAUCACACGAUAGCUAAGACCCAAACUGGGAUUAGAUACCCCACUAUGCUUAGCCCUAAACGUAAAUGAUUUUAUAACAAAAUAAUUCGCCAGAGAACUACUAGCAACAGCUUAAAACUCAAAGGACUUGGCGGUGCUUUAUAUCCCCCUAGAGGAGCCUGUUCUAUAAUCGAUAAACCCCGAUAUACCUCACCACCCUUUGCUAAUUCAGUCUAUAUACCGCCAUCUUCAGCAAACCCUUAAAAGGUGGAACAGUAAGCACAACCAUUUUACAUAAAAAAGUUAGGUCAAGGUGUAGCUUAUAAGGUGGGAAGAAAUGGGCUACAUUUUCUACUCUAAGAACAUCUACGAAUGUUUUUAUGAAAUUAAAAACUGAAGGAGGAUUUAGUAGUAAAUUGAGAGUAGAGAGCUCAAUUGAAUAGGGCCAUGAAGCGCGCACACACCGCCCGUCACCCUCCUCAAGUAAUAAAGCACGACCACAACCAUAUUUACUCGAUUAAAACACAAGAGGAGAUAAGUCGUAACAAGGUAAGCACACCGGAAGGUGCGCUUGGAUUAAU
rnacentral:ncRNA from 1 species